rnacentral:rRNA from 1 species
GAUGAACGCUGGCGGCGUGCCUAAUACAUGCAAGUCGAGCGAACAGACGAGGAGCUUGCUCCUCUGACGUUAGCGGCGGACGGGUGAGUAACACGUGGAUAACCUACCUAUAAGACUGGGAUAACUUCGGGAAACCGGAGCUAAUACCGGAUAAUAUAUUGAACCGCAUGGUUCAAUAGUGAAAGACGGUUUUGCUGUCACUUAUAGAUGGAUCCGCGCCGCAUUAGCUAGUUGGUAAGGUAACGGCUUACCAAGGCAACGAUGCGUAGCCGACCUGAGAGGGUGAUCGGCCACACUGGAACUGAGACACGGUCCAGACUCCUACGGGAGGCAGCAGUAGGGAAUCUUCCGCAAUGGGCGAAAGCCUGACGGAGAAACGCCGCGUGAGUGAUGAAGGUCUUCGGAUCGUAAAACUCUGUUAUUAGGGAAGAACAAAUGUGUAAGUAACUAUGCACGUCUUGACGGUACCUAAUCAGAAAGCCACGGCUAACUACGUG